rnacentral:rRNA from 1 species
AGAGUUUGAUCCUGGCUCAGGACGAACGCUGGCGGCGUGCCUAACACAUGCAAGUCGAGCGAGGCCCUCUUUCGGGGGGUGCCCUAGCGGCGAACGGGUGAGUAACACGUGGGCAACCUGCCCUCAGCUUCGGGAUAACUCCAAGAAAUUGGUGCUAAUACCGGAUGUGACCGCUGACCGCAUGGUCUGGUGGUGGAAAGAUUCAUCGGCUGGGGAUGGGCCCGCGGCCUAUCAGCUUGUUGGUGGGGUAAUGGCCUACCAAGGCGACGACGGGUAGCCGGCCUGAGAGGGUGACCGGCCACACUGGGACUGAGACACGGCCCAGACUCCUACGGGAGGCAGCAGUGGGGAAUAUUGCGCAAUGGGCGGAAGCCUGACGCAGCGACGCCGCGUGAGGGAUGACGGCCUUCGGGUUGUAAACCUCUUUCAGUAGGGACGAAGCGUAAGUGACGGUACCUACAGAAGGAGCACCGGCCAACUACGUGCCAGCAGCCGCGGUAAUACGUAGGGUGCAAGCGUUGUCCGGAAUUAUUGGGCGUAAAGAGCUCGUAGGCGGUCUGUCACGUCGGCUGUGAAAACCCGAGGCUCAACCUCGGGCCUGCAGUCGAUACGGGCAAACUGGAGUACUGCAGGGGAGACUGGAAUUCCUGGUGUAGCGGUGAAAUGCGCAGAUAUCAGGAGGAACACCGGUGGCGAAGGCGGGUCUCUGGGCAGUAACUGACGCUGAGGAGCGAAAGCGUGGGGAGCGAACAGGAUUAGAUACCCUAGUAGUCC